rnacentral:rRNA from 1 species
UACAGAGGGUGCGAGCGUUGAUCGGAAUUACUGGGCGUAAAGCGCGCGUAGGCGGCUUUGCAAGUCGGGUGCGAAAUCCCCAGGCUUAACCUGGGAACUGCAUUCGAGACUGCAUGGCUAGAGUAUGGGAGAGGGAAGUGGAAUUUCAGGUGUAGCGGUGAAAUGCGUAGAUAUCUGAAGGAACAUCAGUGGCGAAAGCGACUUCCUGGACCAAUACUGACGCUCAUGUGCGAAAGCGUGGGGAGCAAACAGG